rnacentral:miRNA from 1 species
CAAUAUUUGGGACAUACUUAUGCUAAAAA